CAGCAGCCGCGGUAAUACGAAGGGGGCAAGCGUUGUUCGGAAUUACUGGGCGUAAAGGGCGCGUAGGCGGCCUAUCAAGUCAGGCGUGAAAUUCCCGGGCUCAACCUGGGGGCUGCGUUUGAUACUGAUGAGCUUGAAUGCGGGAGAGGAUAGUGGAAUUCCCAGUGUAGAGGUGAAAUUCGUAGAUAUUGGGAAGAACACCGGUGGCGAAGGCGGCUUUCUGGCCCGUGAUUGACGCUGAGGCGCGAAAGCGUGGGGAGCAAACAGGAUUAGAUACCCGUGUAGUCCCUGUCUCUUAACA
rnacentral:rRNA from 1 species